GCCGAGCCAGGUCACGGUGGCUUGUAACCCGGGUGUGGGUGUGGCAGUUGAUACACUCCGGCUUGCCGGUUCCAAGACCUGUUAGUCGAGCUUUGUGGCCUGGACGAAUGCCCGAGCUAAGGCGGGGAGGGCACUGCGUCAGGUUAGCUUUACAGAGCAGCGAUCACCUCUCGCUAUCGGCGGUGUGGGGAUAACGGGCCAGCGUGCCCUUCCAACCACACUCUUGACCAA
rnacentral:SRP_RNA from 15 species